GAUGAACGCUGGCGGCGUGCCUAAUACAUGCAAGUCGAGCGAACAGACGAGGAGCUUGCUCCUCUGACGUUAGCGGCGGACGGGUGAGUAACACGUGGAUAACCUACCUAUAAGACUGGGAUAACUUCGGGAAACCGGAGCUAAUACCGGAUAAUAUAUUGAACCGCAUGGUUCAAUAGUGAAAGACGGUUUUGCUGUCACUUAUAGAUGGAUCCGCGCCGCAUUAGCUAGUUGGUAAGGUAACGGCUUACCAAGGCAACGAUGCGUAGCCGACCUGAGAGGGUGGUGGGCGGCGCGGGAGCGGAGACGCGGUCCAGACGCCUACGGGAGGCAGCAGUAGGGAAGCUGCCGCAAUGGGCGGGAGCCUGACGGAGCAGCGCCGCGUGAGUGAUGAAGGUCUUCGGAGCGGAAAGCUCUGUUAUUAGGGAAGAACAAAUGUGGAAGGAACUGUGCACGUCUUGACGGUACCUGAUCAGAAAGCCACGGCUAACUACGUG
rnacentral:rRNA from 1 species